GACGAACGCUGGCGGCGUGCUUAACACAUGCAAGUCGAACGGAAAGGCCCUGCUUUUGUGGGGUGCUCGAGUGGCGAACGGGUGAGUAACACGUGAGUAACCUGCCCUUGACUUUGGGAUAACUUCAGGAAACUGGGGCUAAUACCGGAUAGGGGCUCCUGCUGCAUGGUGGGGGUUGGAAAGUUUCGGCGGUUGGGGAUGGACUCGCGGCUUAUCAGCUUGUUGGUGGGGUAGUGGCUUACCAAGGCUUUGACGGGUAGCCGGCCUGAGAGGGUGACCGGCCACAUUGGGACUGAGAUACGGCCCAGACUCCUACGGGAGGCAGCAGUGGGGAAUAUUGCACAAUGGGCGGAAGCUUGAUGCAGCAACGCCGCGUGCGGGAUGACGGCCUUCGGGUUGUAAACCGCUUUCGCCUGUGACGAAGCGUGAGUGACGGUAAUGGGUAAAGAAGCACCGGCUAACUACGUG
rnacentral:rRNA from 1 species